rnacentral:lncRNA from 1 species
GCCUCAGCAGCCAUGGAAGAUGAGUCACCUGCUCUGAAAAUGGACUCCUCUUUCCUGGAGAUAGCAUCACUUGCACUAUUUGCAGAGUCGCAGACACAGGAAGAAGAUGGCCAUCUAAAAGUCAAAAGAAGAAGCCUGGAACAGAUUUUUCCCUCACAGUUCUCAGAAGGAGCCAGUGGUGCCGACAACUUGAUCUAGUCUCCAGAGCUAUACCACAACCAAUUCCACUUAUUUAAGCCACCUAGGUUGUGGUACCUCGCUACAGCAUCACCUAGAAAAUUAAUGCACCUUCAUUACCCAGAGAUAACCUCAGUAAACACUUACUAUACAUUUAAAAAUCUGUGGCCUAUUUCUGUUUACUUAUUCAAAUAUUUUUUUUUCACAUAACACUAAAUUUUGAACAAAUUUUUCAGUCUAUGGCGGUGACGUCUUGUGCCCUACCCUGAAGUCCAUUUUUCCUUCCUCCCAGUAACAAUGCUCUAAUUUUAGUGCUCAAUCAAAAGAUAACAUUUGCAGCCUCCCUUGGGCCAUGUGCUUAUUUAUCUAAAUUCUGGACAAAAUGAUGUUAGCAGAAAUGUUGUAUUGGACUGUAAAGAACUGCAAAGUUUCUAAAAUUUUGCACUACUUGAAAGCAAAAAAGAAACCCUUCCACAGAAAGGUGGUUUUCUUGUCCCAGUUUUCUGAGUGCCAAUUCCCACAGGGCCAGAAGAGGAUGAGACACUUACAGAGCCUAAAACUUUUAUAAUGGUCAGUGAACCUGCACACCCUUUGUGUAGGACAGAAAUGCUGUUUCUACCUUGCAAGGCUGCUUCCUAUAAAAAAUUCUUAAAACGAUAGACCACCAGCCAACGUUUUGAGGAUGCAUUCAUAUUUUCAGAAUGACAGUAGGAAGAGAGGAAACUGAGCUCCAUACUAGUCCUGGCCUAUGCACCCCCCCAGACUUCUUUUAUGGCUGAGGAAAUUAAACUUCUUUAGUUAAAUCACUUAUUUUGGGAAUUUUCUGUGGUGCUGUCCAAUCCUAGGUCUAACUGGCAUGCAGUCAAUAAAACUUACAUUUAAAACUUCAUUUUUCAGCCGGGCACAGUGGCUCACAUGUGUAAUCCCAGCACCAAGUCAGGUGCAUCACCUGAGGUCAGGAAUUUGAGACCAGACUGGCCAACAUCGUGAAACCCUGUCUCUAUUAAAAUACAAAAUUAUUUUACUCUAUUAAAAAUACAAAAUUUAGCCGGGCGCGGUGGCGGGCACCUGUAAUCCCAGCUACUCGUAAGGCUGAGGCCGGAGAAUCAUUUGAACUCAGGAGGCAGAGGUUGCAGUGAGCCGAGGUGGCGCCAUUGCACUCCAGCCUGGGCAACAAGAGUGAAACUCCAUCUCAAAAAUAAAUAAAUAAAUAAAUAAAUAAAUAAAUAAAUAAAUAAAUAAAUAAAAUAAAAUAAAAUACUUCAUUUUUCAUAAUGACAAAGAAGUAAAUCAUAUAAUCAUACCAUCAUUUCCUUAGUUAAACCCAUUAUUGUACUCCCC